rnacentral:rRNA from 1 species
UACGUAGGGGGCUAGCGUUGUCCGGAAUCAUUGGGCGUAAAGAGCGCGUAGGCGGCCAGAUAAGUCCGCUGUGAAAGUCAAGGGCUCAACCCUUGAAUGCCGGUGGAUACUGCAGGCUAGAGUCCGGAAGGAGGCGAGUGGAAUUCCGUGGUGUAGCGGUGAAAUGCGCAGAUAUCCGGAGAACGACCGGUGCGAAGGCGGCUUCCUGGACCGACACUGACGCUG